GGAAGAGCCUCUGCCUCUGGGAGAGUUCAUAGACUAUUCUGAAUGUAAGCCAAUUCUUUGUACUUUUUGUUUUUGUUGCUGGGGAUUGAACCCAGGGCCUCCCUACCACUGAGCUGGCUACAUGACCACUCUCUGUGUUUUUGUUGUUUAACUUUAUCAACCCCUACAACUCACUUGUUCUUAUCUAUAUCCUAAGCCAAUACAAUCUUGUUUAAUUAGAGUAAGAGUAUAGUCUUUGCCAUUUUUAAAAGAGGCAGUCCAUAAUACAGAUUUUAUUACCUGUGUCAUAACACAUACACCAUUUUUUUUCAUGUUAAAUUACAAAUCUUGGCUUCUCAGUACACUACAAAAGGACUAAGUAACCAUCAAUCAUGGACUUUACCUAUGUGAGGUUAGGUUCUAUCACCUUACAGAGAAAUCUGUUAGGAACAAUAUGCAAAUUUUUAUUGAUAUUUUCCCCCUCUUACCCUUCAUCUCUAUGGACAGGAAUUGGUUAUAGUGUAGACUGCAUUGCACAAAGGCCCUUACUAAGGCUUUUAGAUCACAGGUUCUAAUCUAGAAUCAUGGGUUGUUAUUAGGAGGUACAUGCAGCUUUUGUUAUUGUAUAUAUUUUUCUGAGAAGAAAGCUCAAUGUUUUCAUCUCAAAAGUAGUACAUAAGACCUAAAAAUGAUCAACUAUCUACCAUUGACUACUCUAAGGGAAAUGGAAAGCUGUUCAGAUUAAGCCAUAUCACUGGAAUCUGUUUCUUUUUUAGGUGUUUCUUCAUGUGUUUAAUAAAUGUUUGCACACUUGUUCUGGGCACUAUUCUAAGUGCUGAGAGUACAGUGGUGAAUAAGAUAGGCAAGAUCCUCUCCUCAUUUUUGUAAUCUCAUUUUUUUGGAAGGAUAUCCCCAAUAGAUAAUGAGAAUUUCAAAUAAUUUUAGAUGGAACUUUAAAUAAAUAGCUUUUAGAUGGUAUGAGAAAUAACUUUUAGAUGGUAAGAGAAAAAUAAAACAGUGAGUUUGAUAAUAACUGGAGGUGAAGUAGGC
rnacentral:lncRNA from 1 species